GAGGUUAAAACUGGAAGAUUAUUCUCAAUUCGAUUUCUCGUAAAUAUGGUUUCUCCAACCGGUUCCACUUAAACCCAAUUUGGAUCCAGUUCGCAAUUAGUCUAUCUCUCUCUCUCUCAUAAAUCUCGAUCUCUUAUUACUACUGCUCUCUCUCUCAACUAUUAUUAGAAAUCUGAUUGAAAUUACAGAAGAAGGGAAAACUGGAACUAAGAAAAGGAAAAUUUUAGAUUUUGUUUCAUUGGAUUGCUCUCUGCUACCACCAUUCCAAAACCCUCACCACAUCACCCAACCUCAUACUGCUGCACCUACUGCUACUCCUGCAGAUGUACAUUCCGAUGCUCAAUCUCUAGAUCUAAUUUUUCAACUCCUCACUCGUCCAUCAAUUGCUAAUCAUCUUGUUCAUCGAGGAUUGUUAAGCAAAGAUAUCCUUAAUCAUAUUCCAACCACAACUGCUGAGCAACUUCCACUCAACCAAUCAAUAACAAAUACCACUAAUCCAGACCAUACUGAUCCCAUCAAUAACCAAAAUUAUCCACCAACUAUUAUUGAAGAAGGUACUUCACAGAUGUCUCAGUCUGAACCUUAUACUGGUACUGAUAAUUUUGUCACUAUUGAUCCGUCUGGGACCGAGGAAUCCAGGGCUAUACUGAUGAGUGUGAGUCGUCAUGAAACCAACCUCCAUCAAAGCUCCUUGCUGAUAUCUUCUAAUAGUGCGCUACAUAACGAGGUUUGCUCUCUUCAAAUAUUCUAUUACCUUUUCCUUAUCUCCUACCAUGUGCCUGCAAAUUUCAUAACAAAUUCUAGUCUCAUCAAAAAUAAUUCUAACUGCUCUUUAUAUUUCUACUAUUACUCUAACACAACACAACCUCAUUUUUUUCAAUUUACCUCAUCAUCUACCUUACACCACAGUACUUGGUCAUAUCUUGCUGUUGAUACUCACUAUACUUACCACACAAAUAUUACCAUACUCUACUGUUAUGCUUGCCUAGAUCAUUGUUCAACUAAUCUACAUCUUAUCAUAUGGUACUUUAGUUACUCUCAUUGUUAUAUCUGCAAAUUGCAUAAGUUCUGGUUACUUGGUUUGUAUACUUGUAUAUGCUCACUUAGCUACUGGGUCGGCACUGUGUUUCAAGAAAUGAACAUACUAGCUUGGAAUCUUCGGGGUUGUGGUAAUGUUCAGACAAUAAGAGCUCUAAAAGAUUUAAUUAAAGAACAAAAACCUCAAAUCAUCUUCCUAUCUGAAACUAAAUCUUCCCCAAAUUCUACUCUCUCCCUGAUUAACUCUCUUAAUUACCAUCACUAUCACUUUGUUGAACCAAACCACCAUGCUGGUGGACUCCUCCUCCUUUGGUCAACAAAUGUUCAUCUCCAAGUCAUCUCCUCAAAUAAAUAUAUUAUUAAUACCAUAAUAAAUCAAAAUGAUAACAGUUUACCUUUCUCUGCUUCCUUCUUCUAUGGGAGCCCCUACUCUCAACUUAAAGACUUCAGUUGGAGUUUUCUAAAAAAAGCUUGUGACACUGCCCCUGUUCCUUGGAUGGUUAUAGGAGAUCUGAAUGUCAUCUUCUCCCAAUCUGAAAAAAUUGGAGGUCUUCCUUUUGAUACCAACAAAUGUAAGUUUGCUUCUGAUAUCACUAAUGAACUUGGUCUUAUAGACCUAGGUUUUACUGGUGAACCUUUUACCUGGUGUAAUAAGAGGUGUAACCCCCAUAACAUCAGAAAAAGACUUGAUAGAUGUCUCUGCACUACCAGGUGGCAUCUAUCCCAUCCUGAGGCAAAGUUGCACCAUCUGCCAGCUAUUGCUUCUGACCACUGCCCUAUUCUUCUUCGCAUAAGUCCCCCUCUGCAUGGUGGGCCUAAACCUUUCAAAUUUCAAAACAUGUGGGUUCGUGAUGAAAAUUUCAACUUUGUGGUUGAUAUGGCCUGGAAAAGAGUGCAUAAUACCUGUCCCAUUACGUCACACUUGUCCUCCACUAAAAAAGCUCUUACCAUUUGGAAUAAAAAGGUGUUCGGUAACAUUUUUCACAAAGUUUCUGCCCUUAAAAAGAAGAUCUCUAAUGUCCAAUCCCAGCCUUGCUCCCCUCAUAACAAAGAUCUGGAAAGAAAUCUGAUCAAUGAACUGGAUGAAGUUCAAGCCAGAGAAGAGAUAGCUUGGCAACAAAAAUCUAAUGACAGAACGGUCCUUGAGGGUGACAAAAACACAAAGUUUUUUCACAUCUCCUGUCUCAUUCUCAGAAAUCAUAAUACUAUUGAGUCUAUUCUUGACUUAAAUAACAACAGAACCUUCGAUAAAAAAUCUAUCCAAAAGAUUUUUAUUGACCAUUUCACUCAUCUUCUCUGCCCCCAUGUGAUCCCUCUCUCCCAUAGUCAAAAGCUAACUAUCUCUGAAUUUUUCCCUAACUGCAUGUCCCUGGAAGAUAAGGAAAUGCUUAGCAGAGAUAUCACUCCAGAGGAAAUUAAAUUCUAUAUGUUCGGUAUUGGUCCUCUAAAGGUUCCUGGCCCUGAUGGCUUCACUAGCCUUUUCUUCCAAAAUUCUUGGGGAAUAGUUCAACCGGAACUAUAUAAACUUGUUAUGGAUUUCUGGAAAAAUGAUAAAACUAUAGAGCACAUUAAUCACACCAACAUUGCCUUAAUCCCUAAAUGUGACUUCCCAAACCACCCUUCUGACUUUAGACCUAUUAGUCUUUGCAAUGUGACUUACAAGGUUCUAUCUAAAUUGUUGGCUGAUAGGCUCAGGGAUCUCCUACCUAAAAUUAUCUCCCCUCUUCAGUGUGCCUUUGUCCCUAACAGACAAAUCUCGGAUAAUGUCUUGUUGGCUCAUGAGAUAAUCCACUCUCUUAGGAGGAAACAAGGAAAACAUGGGGUCAUGGCCAUAAAGAUUGACAUGUCCAAAGCUUUCGAUAGAGUUAACUGGGAAUGUCUAAUGGAAAUUCUUAAAUGUUUAGGUCUUCCCCAUUAUUUCAUGGAUCUUAUUCACAAGUGUAUAUCUUCUAUCCACUCCUCUGUCAUUAUCAAUGGCACCCCCCAUGGUUACUUCAAACCUACUAAUGGGCUCAGACAAGGGGACCCCAUAUCCCCCUCCCUCUUCAUCAUUUGCAUGGAGCUUCUUUCUAGACUUAUUCAGCAAAAAUGUAACCAGAAAAAAAUAAAUGGUAUCAAAGUCUCUAGAAAUAGCCAUCCUAUCUCUCAUCUGCUAUUUGCUGAUGAUAUCUUUAUUUUCUGUAAUGCUAACAUUGAUGAAGCUCUAGAGUUACUCCAAACUCUUCAAACUUUCACUUCUAUCUCUGGCCAAGAGAUAAACUUCUCCAAAUCGGGCAUAUUGUUCAGUAAAAACACUCCCACCCAUACUCAAAGUCAAAUUCAAACUACUCUCCAUAUGUCUCAGUUGAAUAAAAAGGAUCUUUACCUUGGGACUCCCCUCUUCCUUGGCCAAAAGAAAUCCUUACUUUUCAAAAAUCUCAUCUCUAGGGUGGAGAAAAAACUUGCAGGCUGGAAAAGUAAAGUUUUAUCCCAGGCUGGUAGAACUGUCUUGAUCAAUUCGGUCACCUCGGCUAUCCCCUCUUACCAAAUGACCUGCUUCAAAAUUCCUAAGUCCAUCACUGAUAGACUCAAUCAACUCCAAAGAGAUUUUUGGUGGGGGCAAACGGAAACUACCAAGAGGAAAAUGCAUCUCAUUAGUUGGACCAAAUUAUGCCAACCUAAAUGCAAAGGAGGCCUUGGAAUUAAAAACAUCGACGAUCAAAAUAAUGCCCUCCUCAGUAGGAUUGCCUGGAGAAUCAUCACCCAACCUGAGAAUCUAUGUUCUUCCAUCCUUCGAUCCAAAUACUUUCCUCUAACCUCUCCUCUUCAUCACCAUAUUCACCACUCUCCCUCCUGGACCUGGAAGUCUAUCUCUACUGUUAUUAAAAAAAUCAACAAUGUCAUAUGUUGGGACAUUGGCACUGGGUCUUCCAUCCCCAUUUGGGACUCUAACUGGAUCCCUUCCAGCCCAAACUUCAAGCCUUUGCCUCUGGCCAACAACAACUCCAUCCUUCAUUCUAAUAUCCAUCAUGUUAACCAACUCCUUCUUCCUAACACUAAUCAAUGGAAUAGUAAUCUCCUUGACCAACUUUUCACUCCCUGUACGAUCCAUUAUAUAAAAAGUACCCCUGUUAGAGGUCAUCAUUCUGUUGAUAGGCUUAAAUGGAUGGGAACUAAAAAUGGUCUGUUUAGUGUUAAAUCCUCUUACAAGUACUUAACUAGGAAUGAACAUAACACUCCCUUCAUUGCUAAAACUCAUCUUAAAAUGUGGAAAACUUUUGCUACUCCAAGAGCUAUUCUCUUUGCUUGGAAAUGCCUUUUCCAAGGAGUUCCUACUAGAGAAAGAAUAGGGAGACACAUUCCCCUAACUUCCAAACUUUGUCCCAUGUGUAGCCAUCCCAGUGAGACUCUAAAACACAUGCUUCUUGAUUGUCCCUAUACUCAAGCAGUAUGGUUUCUCUCACAUUGGAAUUUCAGAUUAAACCACUUCCACAAUUUAAAUGAAAUCCAAUGGAUUAAUAUAUGGUUUGACCCUCCCAAAGAUUGGCUGGUUAAUAUUAAUGAUUGGAGCUCUUAUUGUGUGACCAUUACAUGGGCUAUCUGGAAAUGUAGAUGUGAUAAAGUAUUCAAUGGAAUCCUGUUGGACCCUAUGUUAUUGGCAAAGAAAGUGGAUGCUCAGCUGAGCAGGACUGUCAGGAAUAGAUUGACCACUUGUUCUCAAUCUACACUGCCAUCCCCAUGCUCUUUAUGGAUACCACCUUCAGAUGGCUAUUGCAAGAUAAAUGUGGACAUUGCGUUCCAAACUGCUGAUACAAACAUAGGCAUUGGUAUACUAAUCAGAGAUACAUUUGGAAAAUUUCUAUUUGCAGGCAGUGAAACAGGCAAGGCAGGCUCUUCAGCUGAGGCAGAAUGCGCAGGCAUCUUAUCUGCCUGCAAGACAGGACUCCAGCAACAUCUGAGCAAGGUGAUCAUAGAAACUGAUAACCUAUCAGCUGCUAACUACAUGAAUCGAAAGCAAGCAAACUUAUCUUGGGUGGCUUCAAACAUUUUGGAAGAGGCCUUACUUAUAUCUAAGUCUUUUUUAUCUAUUUAUUUCAUGCACUGUAACAGGAGUGGGAACUGCUCGGCUCAUAUCAUUGCGCAGCAUACUGAUUUAAGCAGCUUGGUUCCCACUACCUUUUCCUUUCCCCCAACCUGGCUGUUAGAACAGCUAGAACUAGACUCUGUAUUGUGUAAUAAGCAAGCUUUCUAAAUUCUAAUAUAAUUAUGAUUAUUAAAAAAAAAAAAAACUAUUAUUAGAAAUCCCUCUCCAUCUCUUUCUUUCUCAUCUGUAUUUCUAUCUCUCUCUUGAAUUUUGACCCCCUUCAACAAUAUAACUUUUGAAGAAUUCAGUUCAACUUAUGAACUAAUUAAUUAUAAGUUAUUCAAUGGAACCCCCUGAAGUUGCUUGAAACCCAAAGUUCAUUAAAAAAAAAUUACAAUAUUGACUUGUAUGAAUCCAAUUUGGGUUUCAAGGAACUGAAUUCAGAUUUUUGUAUGGGUCGUAAAUAAAUUAACAUUCUUACUCCUUAAUUAGUUUUCUCUUUUAUUGUUUCUUGAAAUCCAUGGAUUCAAGAAUGGUUUUCUUGCCCAGAGAAGAUGAUUACAGAUACUCACUCAGAGCAAACAUGUCAAAUCAAAAAGUCAAUUUUAAAAUUAAAAUUAAUCUGGAUGAACAACAUGAUUUUUUUAGAAGAUGACGAUCGAAAUAGGAGAAAGAGAGUCUGAGAAGUUAAGGUAUCAUAUUGGGUCUAAUUGGACCCUUAUAAGAACUCCACAUUUACGAUGCUCUGAGUGCUCAACCAAAAGAAAUUACACCCAGUUAUACCCUCCAGUCCGCAUGCGGACAGACCUAUACCUAUAUAUAUACAGAACGUCACUGGUACGGUCCGUCCGUAUACGAACUGGGGGCUUUUUUGUAAAAGUGUAUCAGAUAUGGAAAUAACAAUAUGAAAUCACGUAAAUAUGGUUUUCUCUAUGGGUUUAAGUAAACCCAAGUUGAAACCCAGAUUUAACCCAUCUUCCUUCUCCUCCGUAUGUUCAUCUCUUUUAUCUUAGAAACAGAUCUCUCCGUCUCUGUUCGAUAAUUGUGACACAUUUUUCAAUAUAAGGUCUACAAAAACCAGGUUUUAAUGAAAUGGUAGAGUAGGUCCAACACAUGAUAUUAGCAAGUAAAAUUCCAAGUAAAGUUCACUGAUGUUGCUAUGAGUUUGACGAGUUGCUGCUUCUAAAACCUACUCAUCUCUCACAAAAAUUUCAAAACAUAACCAUUUUAUUGCGGUUCGAAUUCAACGGAGUGAUUUCUAAUGUUAAUUGAGUCUCAAGCAAACUCAAUAAAAUUAUUUUUCAAUCACAAAUCUUUGAAUCAAAGAGGGUGAAUUUUGUUUCUUAUUAAUUUUUGUUGAAUUAGAUGACAUUCUUAUGCCUUUGGAUCAGUUGAAUAAUAUGAUCAUUACAAGUCUUGUGUUUAUGGAUGUCUUAUGCAUACCCUGGUUUAUAACAAAAGAGAGAAUCACUUGUAUUUCUAGGUGAACCCAACAUCACAAUCUUUGAAUAUUUAAUUGGAUUUAAUCAAAUCCAAAAUUAAUUAAAAAGUUUUCUAAUAUGCUAUGUUUUCUCUGCAAAUCUGAUUACAUCAAUAUAUUCUGAAUCGCUUUCACAUUCAUUCUUUGAUCAGGUAUGGUAGAUGAUAAGAUGAAGAGUUUCGUGUAAAUCAAAACUUCAAGAUUAAAAUAGAGAGCAAGGAGAGAAGCCAUGGAGAAUUACAGUCUUUAUUUGGUAGAUUUAUGCCAGCUUGAGAGAGAGAACAAACGAGAGAGAAGAGAGAGAAGAGAAAUGAAAAGAAUCUUACAGAUCCAAAGCGGGUUGAACAUGACCCAAAAAACAAACCAUAUUAGCGAUAUGUUUAGAAAACUGACCUUUUUACUAUUUUAACCUCAGUCCGUAUACGGACGGACCGUACCAGAGACGCUCUGUAUAUAUAUAUAUAUCGGGCUGUC
rnacentral:lncRNA from 1 species